rnacentral:rRNA from 1 species
GACGACCGGCGCACGGGUGCGUAACACGUAUGCAACCUACCCUUAACAAGUGAAUAGCCCAUAGAAAUGUGGAUUAAUACACUAUAACAUCUCAAAUUCGCAUGUUUUUGAGAUUAAAGCUCAGGCGGUUAAGGAUGGGCAUGCGGCCCAUUAGUUUGUUGGUGAGGUAAUGGCUCACCAAGACUACGAUGGGUAGGGGUUCUGAGAGGAUGAUCCCCCACACUGGUACUGAGACACGGACCAGACUCC